AAUGGCUACGACACGAUUAAUCAUAAAACAUAUUUUUUACGACACGAUUGAGCAAAUUUGUCGGCGUAACUAAGGAUAUAAAAAUACAAAAGAAAACCUACACGAUUUUUUUUUUUUUUUUUUAACUGUCCAAAAGCUUUUAUUAUAACGAUCAAAGAUCUUUAACAAUAGUACAAUACCUUUCAAGGGUGUACAUAAAUACUUGUGAUGUAUCAAUAUACAAGAAAGAAACAAAAUAAACCUAUUGAGUUUCACUCCCAGUGGAGUAGCCCCGGUCUUAGUCUAACAAUCAUAUAUUAAGCCAUAUGGUCUUUGGCGUAAGUAUCGUCUAAUAUCUUGAGAGUUGUCGAAUAGUUAAAUUGCUGCUGGAUUGGUGUGUUGACCCAGAUUUUUCUAAUAUUUGCGAGCAAACUCGUUCUGGGCGGAGGUAAUCAUCAUAUCCCGGUGUAUAAUGUCGUUUCUGUCAUAUCGGUAUGUUGCGACAAUGUUACGGAGAACGACGUUCUGGCAACAUUGAAUAAUCUCAAUAUUGGACUUGCUGGCACAACCCUACAGUUGAAUUCCAUAAUUCCAUAUUGGUUUAUUUACACGAUUGCGCAUACAAAAAAUCUGAUGUUGUUAUAUUCAAUUUUGAACUAUAUUAUAAAAAAAAAAAUAUUUGUUUAAAUAAUAAUUAUAAUAAUUUAAAAUAUAGUAUGAAUUAAAAAUACAAUAAGAUUUCAAAGUCAAUAAUAAUCAAACUUUAUAGAUCUGUAAGUUAAUAAUAAUAGCCUCUUUCCAAUAUAAUAAUAUUAAAAAUAUACUUAUAAAAAGGCGGACGUAGUUCGCACGUGGAUGGGCUACUGUGGUAGGUGUGAAUUGGGGAAGGUAGUAGAGGGGAAAUUUCUUACUGAAUGUAGAUUUUUACGUGACGAUUAUAACCAUUAUAUAUAUAUAUCAUAUUAUGGUAAAAUAUUUAAAGCACUAAAGCACUAAUCAUUUAUCAAUAUUAUUACCACAGUUAAUAAAAUAAUAAUUUGUCAAACAAAUAAAAUAUUUCAAAAAACUCAUCAAAACUGUGAUGACAUUUUACAGAGUUACCAACUACAUUUUUAAUAUUUUGUACGUUCAAGUUAUUUACAUACAAAUUGGUGAUAUUUUUAUUUCCUAAAAGCAUAUCAUGUAUAGGUGGUCUUUAUUUUUCGCUUGUGAUUUUUUUCAGGUUACCCCCCUUAAAAAGGUUCGAUUACUAAAAAUA